UGGGGAAUAUUGCACAAUGGACGAAAGUCUGAUGCAGCGACGCCGCGUGAGGGAAGAAGGUAUUCGUAUUGUAAACCUCUGUCUUCGGGGACGAUAAUGACGGUACCCGAGGAGGAAGCCACGGCUAACUACGUGCCAGCAGCCGCGGUAAAACGUAGGUGGCAAGCGUUGUCCGGAAUUACUGGGUGUAAAGGGAGCGCAGGCGGAAAGGCAAGUUGAAUGUGAAAUCUAUGGGCUCAACCCAUAAAUUGCGUUCAAAACUGCUUUUCUUGAGUGAUGUAGAGGCAAGCGGAAUUCCUGGUGUAGCGGUGGAAUGCGUAGAUAUCAGGAGGAACACCGGUGGCGAAGGCGGCUUGCUGGGCAUUUACUGACGCUGAGGCUCGAAAGCAUGGGUAGCAAACA
rnacentral:rRNA from 1 species